UACGGGGGGGCAAGCGUUGUUCGGAAUUACUGGGCGUAAAGGGUUCGUAGGUGGCUUGCUAAGUCAGACGUGAAAUCCCUCAGCUUAACUGGGGAACUGCGUCUGAUACUGGCGAGCUUGAGUGCAGGAGAGGAACGCGGAAUUCCAGGUGUAGCGGUGAAAUGCGUAGAUAUCUGGAGGAACACCGGUGGCGAAGGCGGCGUUCUGGACUGCAACUGACACUGAUGAACGAAAGCCAGGGGAGCAAACGGG
rnacentral:rRNA from 1 species